rnacentral:misc_RNA from 1 species
GAAAGAUCGAUAAAGAACGCAAGUCCCGAGGAAGGGAAAUGUUCUCCACGUUUUGGAUGGCGAGACGAAUUGCGGUUUUAUCAGCAUUCCAGGCAAGAUCUGUGUUAGUGUCACGCACAUCCAACAACCCACGUUCUCUUGCUUCUGUAAGACACAACUUCCGAAAUAGAUCGUGAACUUGAAAAUAUUGAACACUUUCAUCGAAAC